AGACGGUUGCUGCAUAAUGUCACGGUGACAAAGAAGCUGCUGGUGCUGCUUCUGAAACGGCCAGGUUGAUGAUGCCAUAUAUCCAAGGUUAACCCCCGGAGGUUCCUGUUUUCUAAUUGAGGCAUAGCGGUCCUCGCUGGAGGGGAAGCACAGGAUGUUCGGCCUGACUGUUGCCAAGGUGAUCCAGAGGAUCUCCUGGGAGGAGUGGAGUCUCCACUGUUGGAGGAGGACACAUGGGGCAGAGGAGACGCUCCUCCUCAUCCAGGAUCUCCACGUCACCCUGGACGUCUCUUUGCUGGAUUCUCUCUGCAUCCAGGACAUAUGGAGACACAGAGGAGCCACCUCAGCUGCAUUCAGGACCCAGCAGGUGCAGCUGUACAGAGACUGGUAGACUGACAAAGGGCAGGGUCAGCCUUCUGGUUUCCACCUUAAACACUUCAUCCCAGCCAGUGCCAAGUACUUCCAAGCUCCUGACAACACCUGCCAGACAGAGCAGGAGGAAGAGCGAGUUCUUCCCUCCCAGAGACCAGGAGAGGCAGCCCAGGUGACAGUUCAAGGCAGCGACGGGGGAGAACACCUCCUGUCCUGGGAAGGAGAGUCUCCAGAGCUGUCUUCUUGGACUGAACUCGGGCCCUGCAAACUGGGCCAGUGUUAGCCGCCUGGUGGAGGCCGUUUGCAACCAGCUCUGCGUCUUCACCCGGUGGCCACGUGGUCCAGAGGGACCGUGAGGACUCGCUGGUCAUUCAGUCUCAAGGAUCAUGUGGCAUCAGAGAGGCAGUGCUGGCCGGCCCCAGGUUGAUGGCUCAGACCAACAUCCAGCUCUUUGAAUUAA